rnacentral:rRNA from 1 species
CGGCAGCACGGACUUCGGUCUGGUGGCGAGUGGCGAACGGGUGAGUAAUGUAUCGGAACGUACCUUUCAGUGGGGGAUAACGUAGCGAAAGUUACGCUAAUACCGCAUAUUCUGUGAGCAGGAAAGCAGGGGAUCGCAAGACCUUGCGCUGAUUGAGCGGCCGAUAUCAGAUUAGCUAGUUGGUGGGGUAAAGGCCUACCAAGGCUACGAUCUGUAGCGGGUCUGAGAGGAUGAUCCGCCACACUGGAACUGAGACACGGUCCAGACUCCUACGGGAGGCAGCAGUGGGGAAUUUUGGACAAUGGGGGCAACCCUGAUCCAGCCAUGCCGCGUGAGUGAAGAAGGCCUUCGGGUUGUAAAGCUCUUUCGGCCGGGAAGAAAUCGCAUAGGUUAAUACCCUGUGUGGAUGACGGUACCGGAAUAAGAAGCACCGGCUAACUACGUGCCAGCAGCCGCGGUAAUACGUAGGGUGCGAGCGUUAAUCGGAAUUACUGGGCGUAAAGCGUGCGCAGGCGGUUUCGUAAGACAGAGGUGAAAUCCCCGGGCUCAACCUGGGAACUGCCUUUGUGACUGCGAAGCUAGAGUACGGCAGAGGGGGGUGGAAUUCCACGUGUAGCAGUGAAAUGCGUAGAGAUGUGGAGGAACACCGAUGGCGAAGGCAGCCCCCUGGGCCGAUACUGACGCUCAUGCACGAAAGCGUGGGUAGCAAACAGGAUUAGAUACCCUGGUAGUCCACGCCCUAAACGAUGUCAACUAGGUGUUGGGUGGGUAAAACCAUUUAGUACCGUAGCUAACGCGUGAAGUUGACCGCCUGGGGAGUACGGCCGCAAGGUUAAAACUCAAAGGAAUUGACGGGGACCCGCACAAGCGGUGGAUGAUGUGGAUUAAUUCGAUGCAACGCGAAAAACCUUACCUACCCUUGACAUGUUCAGAAUCCCGGAGAGAUUUGGGAGUGCCCGAAAGGGAGCUGGAACACAGGUGCUGCAUGGCUGUCGUCAGCUCGUGUCGUGAGAUGUUGGGUUAAGUCCCGCAACGAGCGCAACCCUUGUCGUUAAUUGCCAUCAUUUAGUUGGGCACUUUAACGAGACUGCCGGUGACAAACCGGAGGAAGGUGGGGAUGACGUCAAGUCCUCAUGGCCCUUAUGGGUAGGGCUUCACACGUCAUACAAUGGUCGGUACAGAGGGUUGCCAAGCCGCGAGGUGGAGCCAAUCCCAGAAAGCCGAUCGUAGUCCGGAUUGCAGGCUGCAACUCGCCUGCAUGAAGUCGGAAUCGCUAGUAAUCGCGGAUCAGCAUGUCGCGGUGAAUACGUUCCCGGGUCUUGUACACACCGCCCGUCACACCAUGGGAGCGGGUUCCGCCAGAAGUAGGUAGCCUAAG